AUAAAUACAAACAAUAAAUAUAAAUCAGGAACGUGCACGGAUAGCAUACAUUUUGAAAAGGUUGAAAAUGAGGAGCUUGCUGUGGGUGACGUAAUGCAGGACUUAGUAUAUAUCACUCAUCGUCUGACUAUUGAGAAGAAGAUUGAAAAGUUGAAAGCACAGUUACAUGUACUUUAUAUGGAAGAUGAUAAACCAAAAAAUACACACAAUUUUUGUAGAUGAGGAAAAAGAAGACUGUUGAAUAUUGUGUGUUGUUGUAUCAACAUGUGAGGACCAAGACUGUUGCAACAUGUAACCAAAAAUAAUGCUGGAACAAGUGUAGAAGCCUUCAAGAGGAAACUGGACAAGUAUCUUCACCAGGUGCUGGAUCAACCAGGCUGUGAUGGAGUGGGUCAGUGGACCACCAGCAGUAAUAUCCUGGUGUAGCAGGCAAACACCAGAUGAGCCUGACCCCUGGCUGGGCUCUGGCAGCAGAAAAACACUCAGAACUCAUCAGAGGUUAAUGUUAGUUUGUCAAUAGUGUGUGUGAGGAGUUUAUAAUAAUAAUUUUUUUUUUCAACAAACUGACCA